UCCAUUUAAGCCCUUUAACUCUGGUGGAACUUACUAACUUUUGCCCAUUGGCUACCCUCACUAAUAAGGGUUUGGCAGGCUCGAUUUUACAACCUAAGGCCCUGGCUGUUGUCUCCUUAAUGAAGCUAAGGGUGCUUCCAGAAUCAAUAAAAAUGUCAAGCUUCUUAUCACCCAUAUCCCCCACUAACCUCAUGGUGGUUAAGCUAUCCUCUCCAGUGAUUGCAUUAAGGGACAUUUGUACCUCCGUUAGGGUGGCUUGUGUUGUCAGCU
rnacentral:lncRNA from 1 species